AUUGAACGCUGGCGGCAGGCCUAACACAUGCAAGUCGAGCGGAGCGGCGGACGGGUGAGUAAUAUAUCGGAACGUGCCCAGUAGCGGGGGAUAACUACUCGAAAGAGUGGCUAAUACCGCAUACUAUUGGAGCGGCCGAUAUCGGAUUAGCUAGUUGGUGGGGUAAAGGCUCACCAAGGCAACGAUCCGUAGCUGGUUUGAGAGGACGACCAGCCACACUGGGACGGAGAAACGGCCCAGACUCCUACGGGAGGCAGCAGUGGGGAAUAGUGGACAAUGGGCGAAAGCCGGAUCCAGCCAUGCCGCGUGUGGGAAGAAGGUCUUCGGAUUGUAAAGCACUUUAAGUUGGGAGGCGUUACCAACAGAAUAAGCACCGGCUAACUUCGUGCCAGCAGCCGCGGUAAUAC
rnacentral:rRNA from 1 species